rnacentral:rRNA from 1 species
UCCGUAGGGGGCUAGCGUUGUCCGGAAUUAUUGGGCGUAAAGCGCGUGUAGGCGGUCCGGUAAGUCCGCUGUGAAAGUCGAGGGCUCAACCCUCGAAUGCCGGUGGAUACUGUCGGGCUUGAGUACGGGAGAGGCGAGUGGAAUUCCUGGUGUAGCGGUGAAAUGCGUAGAUAUCAGGAGGAACACCGGCGGUGUAGACGGCUGUCUGGACCGUAGCUGACGCUGAGACACGAAAGCGUGGGUAGCAAACAGG